rnacentral:piRNA from 1 species
UGCCCGCAAGGAGCUUACACAUAAGCUGGG